rnacentral:lncRNA from 1 species
AAGCUAAUAUCACCAAUUUAUCAGCAAUACAGCAGCUUUGCAAAGAAAUGACAUUACGGUUUCUUACAAUAGAAAUUAAAUAGGUUUCUUACAAUAGAAAUUAAAUAGGUUUCUUACAAUAGAAAUUAAAUAAAUUAAAAGCGAGAGGCAACCAUAAAACUCGGUCAAGCAACAAAUAUGAGGAACAAAGGAAAGAUAACCUCACAUAGUGCAUAAGACACAUUUCAAACAAAUUGAUCAUACUGGCACACAACACACACUUUGACAGUAUAAGUGUUGACAAAACUAUUUUCUGACCAGAAUUAGUUUUACCAGAACAAUAACAGAAAUCCACAUUAGAGUCAACAUGAACAUAUUUCCAGCAACUUUGAGCGUAAUUAACUUUUACAUAAAUACAUAACACUGGAACUAAUAUCGAUCCAGCCCAACAGCCAAAACCAGACAUUGAGGCUCAGCCUGACACCAACUUCACAACAAUGAUAAGAACAUUAAGGGCUAUCAAGGGCAUCCUCAGAAAUUGCGUAGCGUAGAUAAGACCCACGAUCUGGCCCUUCAACGACUUUGUUUGCCCAUUUCCUGACACCUCAGACAUGCUCCAUCCCCUGGGAGCAAGAAAACGAUCUUCGUUCAGUAUUGCCAACGCAUUUGCGAGAAGCAAAAAACCCUCCAGCAACGUCCACAGGCCCAUUCC